rnacentral:snoRNA from 1 species
UGGCUCCUGGUGCUCACCACAGGCUGUGUUCUUCCGCUAACUUUACAGAAAGAUGAGGCAGAGUAGGCCAACUGUGUCCACUGCAGCCCAGGCCCUGUGCAUUGGGAAUGGGGAAACAUGG